AAAAGAAUUAGAGAAGCAGCGAUGCUUAAUUAAGCCUCAGAAGCAGCGUGUCUUAUUGGACACGUGUUUUCCAAACAACGCUCUGUGUUCCUUUCUCUCUCUCUCUCGUGAAACGGAAACAUCUCGUUCUCUCUCUCGACGACUCCGUCUUCUCUCUCGACGAAAUCGACGCCUCCUCGACGCUAAGCGCAGCUCAAACCCGACACAGUGCCCAAGUUCCAUGAAGCUUUACCUGCUCUGACCGACUAACUCAUCGGCGCGAUGAUGUCUCCUCUGUGGCGAUCGGAUGAUCCAAACCUCAUCCAAGAACCUACCGUCUACAGGUUGAAUGAAGCAGUGAUGCAUUUUGGUGAGAGUAUAAAGGAGAUGUGAAAGAAAAAUCUACUGAAGAUGUGCAGACCUCUCAACCGAGCGGAACACACUCGGAUCUUUCAAUUCAAAUACCGCCUAGACCAAUCCCAUUCGGUGGUGCCGGGCGUAUCCCAAAAGGUUCUCUGAAACAAGCGCAGGUACAUGUUUCUAACAGAUGUUAACCAAACAGAUACAGACCUGUGAGAAAACUUGAGGUCCGCAUAAUAAUUGUAUGAGUAAUAGAUUGAGUCAUGUGCACUGUUUUUGGUGUAAAGCAUGUCAACGUUUAAUCA